AGAAUGAACGCUGGCGGCAUGCCUAACACAUGCAAGUCGAACGAAACCUUCGGGUUUAGUGGCGCACGGGUGCGUAACGCGUGGGAAUCUGCCCCUUGGUUCGGAAUAACAGCGAGAAAUUGCUGCUAAUACCGGAUGAUGACGUAAGUCCAAAGAUUUAUCGCCGAGGGAUGAGCCCGCGUAGGAUUAGCUAGUUGGUGUGGUAAAGGCGCACCAAGGCGACGAUCCUUAGCUGGUCUGAGAGGAUGAUCAGCCACACUGGGACUGAGACACGGCCCAGACUCCUACGGGAGGCAGCAGUGGGGAAUAUUGGACAAUGGGCGAAAGCCUGAUCCAGCAAUGCCGCGUGAGUGAUGAAGGCCUUAGGGUUGUAAAGCUCUUUACCGGGAUGAUAAUGACAGUACCGGGAGAAUAAGCUCCGGCUAACUCCGCGCCAGCAGCCGC
rnacentral:rRNA from 1 species